ensembl:lncRNA
GUGCUGAAACCUGCAUUAUAAACUGGGUGGUUCUUCUUUACACUGUUAAGUGGUGCUGAAACCUGCAUUAUAAACUGGGUGGUUCUUCUUUACACUGUUAAGUGGUGCUGAAACCUGCAUUAUAAACUGGGGGUUCCAGGUUCAUCAUGAGUGAGACAUUAAAUUCAUAAUAGUUCUUAUCUCUGAUUGAUCAAUAGAAGUAAUUCAUACUAAGAUCUAAGAUCAGAUCACAGUUUCUAACUAUUUACUGUGUUGUUUCCUCUGGUGUUUUUCAAGCUAGGGGCUCUACCCCAUCCUCCUCUCCUCCCAAAGCCCUCCCCCCUCUCUCUCCUCCUCUCUCUGUCUGUCUCUGGGUUGGUGGCUGCUCUCUCCAUCUCUCUGAUCAUUCUACUGGUCCUGUUCUGCAAGAGGAACAAAGAUGUAGCUGCUGAACCCAGAGAUGUUACGUAUGCUGAUGUUAGAAUCACACAGGACCCAGAACACAGGAGAAGGAGAGAGAAGUCUCCAGGAGCUGAUCCAGUCUACUCUGCAGUGAAGACCUCCAACACCACAGUUCCAGGUGGAUCUGGUCCAGGUGAUGUGACCUAUGCUGACAUCAACCACACAGAGAAGAGACAACACAACAGGAGGAGAGAGAAGGUCGUUCCAGACCCUGUCUACUCAGCAGUGAAGACAGAGAGAGAUACAGGUCAAAAGGUCGUUCCAGACCCUGUCUACUCAGCGGUGAAGACAGACAGACAGACAG